UACGAAGGGGGCUAGCGUUGUUCGGAUUUACUGGGCGUAAAGCGCACGUAGGCGGAUUGUUAAGUCAGGGGUGAAAUCCCGAGGCUCAACCUCGGAACUGCCUUUGAUACUGGCAAUCUUGAGGCUGGAAGAGGUUGGUAGAAUUCCCAGUGUAGAGGUGAAAUUCGUAGAUAUUGGGAAGAAUACCAGUGGCGAAGGCGGCCAACUGGUCCAGAUCUGACGCUGAGGUGCGAAAGCGUGGGGAGCAAACAGGAUUAGAAACCCUCGUAGUCC
rnacentral:rRNA from 1 species